ACGAACGCUGGCGGCGUGCUUAACACAUGCAAGUCGAACGGAAAGGCCCUGCUUUUGUGGGGUGCUCGAGUGGCGAACGGGUGAGUAACACGUGAGUAACCUGCCCUUGACUUUGGGAUAACUUCAGGAAACUGGGGCUAAUACCGGAUAGGAGCUCCUGCUGCAUGGUGGGGGUUGGAAAGUUUCGGCGGUUGGGGAUGGACUCGCGGCUUAUCAGCUUGUUGGUGGGGUAGUGGCUUACCAAGGCUUUGACGGGUAGCCGGCCUGAGAGGGUGACCGGCCACAUUGGGACUGAGAUACGGCCCAGACUCCUACGGGAGGCAGCAGUGGGGAAUAUUGCACAAUGGGCGGAAGCCUGAUGCAGCAACGCCGCGUGCGGGAUGACGGCCUUCGGGUUGUAAACCGCUUUCGCCUGUGACGAAGCGUGAGUGACGGUAAUGGGUAAAGAAGCACCGGCUAACUACGUGCCAGCAGCCGCGGUGAUACGUAGGGUGCGAGCGUUGUCCGGAUUUAUUGGGCGUAAAGGGCUCGUAGGUGGUUGAUCGCGUCGGAAGUGUAAUCUUGGGGCUUAACCCUGAGCGUGCUUUCGAUACGGGUUGACUUGAGGAAGGUAGGGGAGAAUGGAAUUCCUGGUGGAGCGGUGGAAUGCGCAGAUAUCAGGAGGAACACCAGUGGCGAAGGCGGUUCUCUGGGCCUUUCCUGACGCUGAGGAGCGAAAGCGUGGGGAGCGAACAGGCUUAGAUACCCUGGUAGUCCACGCUGUAAACGGUGGGUACUAGGUGUGGGGUCCAUUCCACGGGUUCCGUGCCGUAGCUAACGCUUUAAGUACCCCGCCUGGGGAGUACGGCCGCAAGGCUAAAACUCAAAGGAAUUGACGGGGCCCCGCACAAGCGGCGGAGCAUGCGGAUUAAUUCGAUGCAACGCGUAGAACCUUACCUGGGUUUGACAUGGAUCGGGAGUGCUCAGAGAUGGGUGUGCCUCUUUUGGGGUCGGUUCACAGGUGGUGCAUGGCUGUCGUCAGCUCGUGUCGUGAGAUGUUGGGUUAAGUCCCGCAACGAGCGCAACCCUUGUUCACUGUUGCCAGCACGUUAUGGUGGGGACUCAGUGGAGACCGCCGGGGUCAACUCGGAGGAAGGUGGGGAUGACGUCAAGUCAUCAUGCCCCUUAUGUCCAGGGCUUCACGCAUGCUACAAUGGCUGGUACAGAGAGUGGCGAGCCUGUGAGGGUGAGCGAAUCUCGGAAAGCCGGUCUCAGUUCGGAUUGGGGUCUGCAACUCGACCUCAUGAAGUCGGAGUCGCUAGUAAUCGCAGAUCAGCAACGCUGCGGUGAAUACGUUCCCGGGGCUUGUACACACCGCCCGUCAAGUCAUGAAAGUUGGUAACACCCGAAGCCGGUGGCCUAACCGUUGUGGGGGAGCCGUCGAAGGUGGGACUGGUGAUUAGGACUAA
rnacentral:rRNA from 1 species